rnacentral:rRNA from 1 species
GUACACGCUGUGACUAGCAUAUCAAUAAGCGGAGGAAAAGAAACUAACAAGGAUUCCCCUAGUAACGGCGAGUGAAGCGGGAAGAGCUCAAAUUUGAAAUCUUAAAGGGUUUCCCUUUACGAAUUGUAGUUUAAAGAAGUGUUUUCUGUUGAGGUUUUGGUAAAAGUUCUUUGGAAUAGGACAUCAUAGAUGGGUGAGAAUCCCGUAUUUGACCUUUACUUUCAACUUUGUGAUACACUUUCAAAGAGUCGGAUUGUUUGGGAAUGCAGUCCAAAAUGGGUGGUAAAUUUCAUCUAAAGCUAAAUAUUGGCGAGAGACCGAUAGCGAACAAGUACCGUGAGGGAAAGAUGAAAAGAACUUUGAAAAGAGAGUUAAACAGUACGUGAAAUUGUCAAAAGGGAAGCGUUUGACACCAGUGUUGUUUUUCUGAAAAUCAAUUAAAGAACUGUUUAUGCUAAGCUGUUUAGACUUUAUCAGCUAUCUGUUUAGUUUUGAGCUUUUCUUUAAUGCACUUUUCAGUUAACAAGUCAACAUCAAUUUCUUUUGCUGUAAAAAAGCUUGAGGAAGGUGGCUUGAGAUUCGUCUUAGAGUGUUUAUAGCCUCUUGCCUAUGCAGUCGGAGAGAUUGAGGUCUGCAGCGUAGAUCCUUCGGGGCUAAAUGCAUUUGUGCUAAGUUAUAGCAUUUCAUAGACAACUUGUUGACUAUGAUUUGUCUUGUAGCUUACUCGCUUAUGUUAUUUUACCUACGCUUAGGAUGUUGACUGAUAUGUAGUCGUA